UUGACGCUUAACUACUUGAACCGUGUGUCUGAAUUUCCAAGAGUUUUAUUUGAAUGGCAAUAAAUUUCUGAACACGAUUUUAGCCUCACCUGGCUCUGUGCAGAACUUCCUCCAUGACACUCCGCUUGUGUUCGUCCUUCACGUCCUCGUUGAUGUCCGUCCCUCCGAAGACCACUCCGAAAGGCACGCCGACAUCUGCAGCCAUGUUAAAAACAGAACGCAACACUCUCGACAAGCUCUUAGGGUGAAGAACAGACGAUACAGCUGAUGAAUUAAGAUCUUUUUAUUAUUAGCAUUAGCCAUGUAGCUCCAACACAGAUGGAAUGAAGCUAAAAACCUUUAACAAAGCUAUAUUGUUCUA